UACGAAGGGGCUAGCGCUGUUCGGAAUUACGUGGGCGUAAAGCGCACGUAGGCGGAUAUUUAAGUCAGGGGUGAAAUCCCAGAGCUCAACUCUGGAACUGCCUUUGAUACUGGGUAUCUUGAGUAUGGAAGGAGGUAAGUGAAUUGCGAGUGUAGAGGUGAAAUUCGUAGAUAUUCGCAGGAACACCAGUGGCGAAGGGCG
rnacentral:rRNA from 1 species